AUUGAACGCUGGCGGCAUGCUUUACACAUGCAAGUCGAACGGUAACAGGGUGCUUGCACCGCUGACGAGUGGCGAACGGGUGAGUAAUGCGUCGGAACGUGCCGAGUAGUGGGGGAUAACGCAGCGAAAGUUGUGCUAAUACCGCAUACGUACUGAGGUAGAAAGUGGGGGACCUUCGGGCCUCACGCUAUUCGAGCGGCCGACGUCUGAUUAGCUAGUAGGUGAGGUAAAGGCUCACCUAGGCGACGAUCAGUAGCGGGUCUGCGGGGAUGCUCCGCCACACUGGGACUGAGAAACGGCCAAGGCUCAUACGGGAGGCAGCAGUGGGGAAUUUUGGACAAUGGGCGAAAGCCGGAUCCAGCCAUGCCGCGUGUCUGAAGAAGGCCUUCGGGUUGUAAAGGACUUUUGUCAGGGAGGAAAUCCCUAGUGCUAAUAACACUGGGGGAUGACAGUACCUGAAGAAUAAGCACCGGCUAACUACGUGCCAGCCGCCGCCGUAA
rnacentral:rRNA from 1 species